UUGUUGCUGUCGAAAAUUUGCAAAGUUCGCCGCGUCUUUUUACGUUCUCCGGGGUAAAAGAUGUUUUUCUUCGAGUUCAUUCGCCGGAUUCUGUUACGGAACCCCAGUGGUAUGGCUAGAGACGCCGUUCCGGAUCGAGCGGGGCUGAUUCAUUUGCUGCUACCGCACCGGGUGUUGAAAUUUCUACCCCAUUGGAUUCCUUGGAUCUGGACAUUGUGUUUUUCAGCGCCUGAAGUUCACCUAUAAAAAUGUGCAGCAUAGCGGUUUUCGUACAGCAGAAAGUGAGCGGAAAUUAAUAUCAUAAUCUCAUCCAGUUAAUAUUGCGAAUAGGUGCAGGAUGUCCGGUAGGAAGUACGACAGCCAUUGGUGUUAACAGAACCCCGGUAUAAUUAGGUGGUUUUCUGGUUACGAUAAAACGUCCGUCAGCUCGAUCGCUCGCCUGGGAUUUCUGCAGAGCAGAGAUAGCGGUCUGAAUUAAAAAAAAACGAUUAUGUGAAAAAUCAAUUAAUAGAAAAGCAAUAAAAUGAAAUUUUCGAUGACAUAAAGACGUGAA